AGCUAUGUCAAAGCAACCUUAUUUACAGAAAAUGUAUAUUUGAUACAUACUGCUAUCUUUAAAUUAAUCACUCGUAUAAAGUUUUGGUCAUAUGACCCACUCAUAAUUAUUUAUUUAACAUUUU